CACUGUUAUUUACCUCACUCAUUCUGCUCCCCUCUCUCUCACUCUACCACUUUCUCUCUCUCUCCCCCCCUCUCUUUCUCUCACUCAUUCAUUCACCACUCCCCUUCUAACUUUGUCUUCAUAAUUUAUUAGUCACGGUUUCAUUUCUUCGCUGUUACACCUUUAAUCUCUCCGCUCCGAAAUUGUCAACUCAGAUCAAAGUGUAAAAAUGUAUUUCAACAAAAUGCUGCUCUUCACUGCUCUGUCAAGCGUUCUUGUACAGGAGGUCAUAUCAUUUGAGGCAAACAAAGACCUGUAUGAAAUACUUGGCAUAAAACGAGGAUCUUCUCAAAAGACAAUUAGGAGUGCCUUUAGAAAAUUAGCCCUAAAAUAUCACCCAGAUAAAAAUAAAGAUAACCCAGAGGCUGAAAAAAAAUUUGUAGAAAUUAGUAAAGCUUAUGAAAUCUUGUCAAACCCUGAGAAGAAGGAACGUUACGACAAAUUUGGCGACACUGGCGAUAGUCAGGAUGACUUCUCUCAAGGAACACAUUCUUUUAAUUUUGAAGAUUUGUUUGGCUCCAGCUUUGAUAAUUUCUUCUCAUCCAGUCAUCGCAGUAGUCAGAAUUCCCAGGGAAGAGGUGGAGGGGGACAGUACAUAAAGAUCAACGACGAUGAUUCUUUCUUCCGAUUUGAUGAUUUCUUUGGUGAUAGUGAUGACAACGAGGAUUUUUUCAGUUUUGAUAAUUUUGAAGAUUUUUUUGAACAACCUCAUGCUAAAUAUAGUGGACAUAUGAACAGCUUUUUUAGUUCAUCGCAUUCAUCAGGUGGUCAGAAAUGUCGGACAGUAACCCAGAGAAUCGGAAAUAUGAUGACAACUCGGACAGAAUGUUCAUAACUAUAAAACAGUUUUUCUAUUUGGGAUGAAGUAUACUUUUAAAUUUAUUGACAUUUGAUAUAUAUAUAUAUAACGAUUUUAUAUAUAUAAACAAACAUACAUACAUUCAUCUGAAUAUUUU
rnacentral:misc_RNA from 1 species